rnacentral:rRNA from 1 species
UUUUCUUUCACCGGAGCUUGCUCCACCGAAAGAAAAGGAGUGGCGAACGGGUGAGUAACACGUGGGUAACCUGCCCAUCAGAAGGGGAUAACACUUGGAAACAGGUGCUAAUACCGUAUAACAAUCGAAACCGCAUGGUUUCGGUUUGAAAGGCGCUUUUGCGUCACUGAUGGAUGGACCCGCGGUGCAUUAGCUAGUUGGUGAGGUAACGGCUCACCAAGGCAACGAUGCAUAGCCGACCUGAGAGGGUGAUCGGCCACAUUGGGACUGAGACACGGCCCAAACUCCUACGGGAGGCAGCAGUAGGGAAUCUUCGGCAAUGGACGGAAGUCUGACCGAGCAACGCCGCGUGAGUGAAGAAGGUUUUCGGAUCGUAAAACUCUGUUGUUAGAGAAGAACAAGGAUGAGAGUAGAAUGUUCAUCCCUUGACGGUAUCUAACCAGAAAGCCACGGCUAACUACGUGCCAGCAGCCGCGGUAAUACGUAGGUGGCAAGCGUUGUCCGGAUUUAUUGGGCGUAAAGCGAGCGCAGGCGGUUUCUUAAGUCUGAUGUGAAAGCCCCCGGCUCAACCGGGGAGGGUCAUUGGAAACUGGGAAACUUGAGUGCAGAAGAGGAGAGUGGAAUUCCAUGUGUAGCGGUGAAAUGCGUAGAUAUAUGGAGGAACACCAGUGGCGAAGGCGGCUCUCUGG